UUUACAUUUUUGAAUAAUGACGAGCAUUCAUAUGCACAAAGUUUUCCUCCAUUUGUAACACCUUCAGGAUUACAUAAAGAUGUACCAACCAGAUGGAAUAGUACAUUAGAAAUGUUAUCGAGUUUACUUAAAAAUAAAGAAGUAGUGAUACGCUGCUUGGAAAUGAUUAGACGUUAUGAUGCAAUUUCUACAGAAUGAGUGGAUAGAAAUCGAAGGUAUAGCAAGCUGUUUAAUAAGUAUUAAAACAGCAAUAGAAAUUCUUUCUGGGAAUAUCCAAUAACCAAUCUUGCACUUUUAUUUAGGGCAGAAAUUGAAAGUAAUGUAUGUGUAAAUGAAGAUGAUUCAUACAUAGUAAAACAGCUUAAAGAAACUAUUUCUCAAAACAUAAAAAAAUGAUUUCCAAUUCAUGAAACUCAUGUUUGCGGAGCACUUCUGGAUCCAACUCUUCAAAAUAUUAGAGGUGUUGUGGAAUAUCUUACAGACAAGCAACAAUCUCCUAAGGAAUUUUUAAUAUACAUGAUCCACAAAAUGGUUCCUUUGAGUACAAAUAAUGAGCAGAUUAGAUUAUUUUUAUAUUUCAAUUCUUAACAUUGUAAUGAUGCACCCCGUACACCCCCUUAAAUACAUCGUAUACCCGGCAUGCGAUCCGCCGGAAGCUGCCGCCCGGCAGAACACCCGCCGGACAUAGGCAGGGGCGCGGUGCGCCCACAUUUUUUAAACGACUUCAACUCUUUCGGAAAGAGAGCCGAAUACCGCCGAGUGUUGCCGACGUGUUCCGAUCCGGCGACCGGCGAAAACCCGCGCUCGGCGCGCACCCCGAAUCCCUCCGAGCGGGCCACCGACCGUACCGCUUUCUGUAACCCGUUCGGAAGGGGUAAUAACGCCGCGCGCCGACGCGGGCAAUUAGCCGGUACAAAACGUACCGGCACGUUCGGCACACUAAUUACCUUUUUCCGAUCCGCUCACGACAAUGAAGCAGCUCCGAAAUCUAGACCGCUCCUAUCUAAAGAAAUCUAGCUUCAAGGAAAGGAGGUAGAGCGAACUCUUCCUCCAUCGAUCACUCUCGAUCCUCGACCAAGAUCCAUCCAUCCGAUCAAUAAUCCGACCAGGAAAAGGAAUCAGAGUGCACUCUGAUUCCGUCGAGAGUUCUCGACCACCGGUCUAUAAUCCGACCGCCAGACGCUAGUGCAUCUAUUCACGAGGCAGAAAGGAGAGCUACCUCGGACGAGUUAUUCUCGUCAGCACUGCGUUCCCGAAAAAUUCUCCUUAUUUAUCGGGAAUUACCGAGACAAUUCCGCGUAAACGCAUACGACACAUUUCACGGAAAUAUAGCGCGCGUUCCUCGUAAACAACACAAAAAGCCGGCUAGACGGAUCCUACGAACGCGCAUACAGAAAAAUACUAUACGCGCAACGUCAAACGGUCAUUGACCGCGCCGGAAUCACAAGACGUAAAUAUCAUUUAAAGGUAUCGAUACGAUCCGAAACCGCAUUAUCACUGCAAUACACACGAUUAUAAACUAUUGUACCAUUCCUAAAUAAAAGCGAUAGUAUUGUACGACACGCUUACACAACAUCUGCAUAACGCGCCAAAUAAUUAAUCUAUGUCUCGCGCCGAACAUCGCGCUCGAACACAAAAUCACAUGCACGACACGCGCACACAAACACCCGCGCGCACG
rnacentral:lncRNA from 1 species